ensembl:lncRNA
CUCAGAACUAUGUAACGUGCGAGUAAAUUCUGCUUUUCCUUUGUCUUGAACAGAGCAUCUGCUGGUUUCACAGACCUACAGAUUUCACAGCAAGUUUGGUCCAAGCUAGCAGAAACAGCACACAAAGCGAAGAAGUGCUCCAAAGAGCCAUUCUAGCUGACAUUUCCCUGCUUCACCUCCACCCCUCUGCGUGAUUUCCUAACAGUGCAAUGUUUGCAGCUCUUCAUGUCAGUGCUGGCUUUUCCUGUUGUCACCCUGGUGCGUGGGGAAGUGACUGACCCUGCAAGCCCCCGGCCUCCCUGACAUGCCUGGGCACAAAGAAAACAGGCGCUUUAAACAAAUCAAAUCCAGCCCCCUGCUGCCAUCAGACAAGGGGACACAGGGUUCAUCCAUUCUCAUUGCUGCGUUCGUGACACACAGGCAGCUGCAGUGCAUACCCAUGGCCUCACUCCUCCAUGGGAACCAGAGCACGGCCUGCCCACGAUGGAUGGAGUCUCCUCAUCGAGUGCUUGUCCAGCUUAU